GACGAACGCUGGCGGCGUGCUUAACACAUGCAAGUCGAACGGAAAGGCCUCUUUCGGGGGGUACUCGAGUGGCGAACGGGUGAGUAACACGUGAGUAACCUGCCCUUGACUUUGGGAUAACUUCAGGAAACUGGGGCUAAUACCGGAUAGGAGCUCCUGCUGCAUGGUGGGGGUUGGAAAGUUUCGGCGGUUGGGGAUGGACUCGCGGCUUAUCAGCUUGUUGGUGGGGUAGUGGCUUACCAAGGCUUUGACGGGUAGCCGGCCUGAGAAGGUGACCGGCCACAUUGGGACUGAGAUACGGCCCAGACUCCUACGGGAGGCAGCAGUGGGGAAUAUUGCACAAUGGGUGGAAGCCUGAUGCAGCAACGCCGUGUGCGGGAUGACGGCCUUCGGGUUGUAAACCGCUUUCGCUCAUGACGAAGCUUUGUGUGACGGUAGUGGGUAAAGAAGCACCGGCUAACUACGU
rnacentral:rRNA from 1 species